AGUGAACGCUGGCGGUAGGCCUAACACAUGCAAGUCGAACGGCAGCACAGUAAGAGCUUGCUCUUACGGGUGGCGAGUGGCGGACGGGUGAGGAAUACAUCGGAAUCUACUUUUUCGUGGGGGAUAACGUAGGGAAACUUACGCUAAUACCGCAUACGACCUACGGGUGAAAGCAGGGGAUCUUCGGACCUUGCGCGAUUGAAUGAGCCGAUGUCGGAUUAGCUAGUUGGCGGGGUAAAGGCCCACCAAGGCGACGAUCCGUAGCAGGUCUGAGAGGAUGAUCAGCCACACUGGAACUGAGACACGGUCCAGACUCCUACGGGAGGCAGCAGUGGGGAAUCUUGGACAAUGGGCGCAAGCCUGAUCCAGCCAUACCGCGUGGGUGAAGAAGGCCUUCGGGUUGUAAAGCCCUUUUGUUGGGAAAGAAAAGCAGCAGGUUAAUACCCCGCUGUUCUGACGGUACCCAAAGAAUAAGCACCGGCUAACUUCGUG
rnacentral:rRNA from 1 species